CUCAGGGUGCGUGUCUGUGCAGGAGUGCAUGUGUGUACAUGCAUGUGUGUGCAGGGGUGCGUGCAUGUGUGUGGACCAGGGAAACACAUGACUGCAGUGCCUCGUCCUCAGACCAGCAAGGUCCCUGCUCCCCCCACCGGGAGCUGGGUGGCAGAGGAAGGGGAUCCCGGUCCCGCCCAGGCCUCUCCCAAGAGCCCUCAGUCAGGCGUCUCCCUCUCUGCCUCCCAGCAGCCGCCCUAGUCCUUGUGUGGACAGGGUUAGAUAAGACAGGGCUGCCAGCCAGGACAGGUCUAUCCAGAGCAAGCCUGGGAGGGAGGGGCCGAGAGAGCCCCCUGCGCACAGCAGGGAGCCCCUCCUCCACCCACCGGGGCUUGCACAGCACAAAGUGGCGUGAGCUUGGGCUGGCCCUGGACUCCUGCACUGGGCAGGGCUGAUCCAGCGGAGGAGAACGCGGGGACCUGAGGGCCUGCUCCCAGUCCCCCAGGGCAGAAGCCAAACUGGACCUAUCGCUCUCGUCCUUGCUGCCUCGGCCCUGACCCUGACAGUCACCCCCGCCCUCUGGGGCAAACACACAGGGAGAUGUGUGAAGACAGAGACCCAUCUCCUUAAAAACCCCUGUUGGGCCUCAACCGGACUGCGCACUCAGCCCUCUGCCUCUCUGCUGAGCCGCCCGCCUGGUCUGGCCAGGUGUACUCUCUCCACUCAACCAUGUAACCUCACUCCCCACCCCCCGCCCCAGUCUCUCAGGCUCUGUCUGGAGAGGUGCCCAUCUGUCCUUACGGAUGUCCCUUGCCUAAUAAACCUUGCUAUUUUACCUCCCA